AUUAUGGAGGGGGAAUAUCUCGGGGAACUGAGAAUAAUGCCCGAUAGAACAUUAUGCCUGGAAUGGUUUAUGUUUCAAAUGAUUUAUCGCCAUAGGAUGGGACUGCGGCCUAUCAGUUUGUUGGUGAGGUAAUGGCCCACCAAGACUAUUACAGGUACGGGCUCUGAGAGGAGUGGCCCGGAGAUGGGUACUGAGACACGGACCCAGGCCCUAUGGGGCGCAGCAGGCGAGAAAACUUUGCAAUGUGCGAAAGCACGACAAGGUUAAUCCGAGUGGUUUCUGCUAAAGAAACCUUUUGUCAGUCCUAGAAACACUAACGAAUAAGGGGUGGGCAAGUUCUGGUGUCAGCCGCCGCGGUAAAACCAGCACCUCAAGUGGUCAGGAUGAUUAUUGGGCCUAAAGCAUCCGUAGCUCGUUUUGUAAGUUUUCGGUUAAAUCCAUACGCUUAACGUAUGGGCUGCCGGGAAUACUGCAUAACUAGGAAGUGGGAGAGGUAGACGGUACUCGGUAGGAAGGGGUAAAAUCCUUUGAUCUAUUGAUGACCACCUGUGGCGAAGGCGGUCUACCAGAACACGUUCGACGGUGAGGGAUGAAAGCUGGGGGAGCAAACCGGAUUAGAUACCCGGGUAGUCCCAGCUGUAAACUAUGCAAACUCAGUGAUGCAUUGGCUUGUGGCCAAUGCAGUGCUGCAGGGAAGCCGUUAAGUUUGCCGCCUGGGAAGUACGUACGCAAGUAUGAAACUUAAAGGAAUUGGCGGGGGAGCAC
rnacentral:rRNA from 1 species